GGCCUGGUGGCGGAUGGUCCGCACCCGCCUACUUUACCCAGAGACGAUUGCAAUAAGCAGGAGCUGCUCGUUCGAGUCGAGCCCGGGCCC